rnacentral:rRNA from 1 species
ACUGAGGCGCAGCUACCAUGCAGUCGAGCGGUAGCACAGAGAAGCUUGCUUCUUGGGUGACGAGCGGCGGACGGGUGAGUAAUGCAUAGGAAUCUGCCCGAUAGUGGGGGAUAACCUGGGGAAACCCAGGCUAAUACCGCAUACGUCCUACGGGAGAAAGGGGGCUCCGGCUCCCGCUAUGGGAUGAGCCUAUGUCGGAUUAGCUAGUUGGUGAGGUAACGGCUCACCAAGGCAACGAUCCGUAGCUGGUCUGAGAGGAUGAUCAGCCACAUCGGGACUGAGACACGGCCCGAACUCCUACGGGAGGCAGCAGUGGGGAAUAUUGGACAAUGGGCGCAAGCCUGAUCCAGCCAUGCCGCGUGUGUGAAGAAGGCCCUCGGGUUGUAAAGCACUUUCAGCGAGGAAGAACGCCUAGCGGUUAAUACCCGCUAGGAAAGACAUCACUCGCAGAAGAAGCACCGGCUAACUCCGUGCCAGCAGCCGCGGUAAUACGGAGGGUGCAAGCGUUAAUCGGAAUUACUGGGCGUAAAGCGCGCGUAGGUGGCUUGAUAAGCCGGUUGUGAAAGCCCCGGGCUCAACCUGGGAACGGCAUCCGGAACUGUCAAGCUAGAGUGCAGGAGAGGAAGGUAGAAUUCCCGGUGUAGCGGUGAAAUGCGUAGAGAUCGGGAGGAAUACCAGUGGCGAAGGCGGCCUUCUGGACUGACACUGACACUGAGGUGCGAAAGCGUGGGUAGCAAACAGGAUUAGAUACCCUGGUAGUCCACGCCGUAAACGAUGUCGACCAGCCGUUGGGUGCCUAGCGCACUUUGUGGCGAAGUUAACGCGAUAAGUCGACCGCCUGGGGAGUACGGCCGCAAGGUUAAAACUCAAAUGAAUUGACGGGGGCCCGCACAAGCGGUGGAGCAUGUGGUUUAAUUCGAUGCAACGCGAAGAACCUUACCUACUCUUGACAUCCUGCGAAUUCGGUAGAGAUACCUUUAGUGCCUUCGGGAACGCAGAGACAGGUGCUGCAUGGCUGUCGUCAGCUCGUGUUGUGAAAUGUUGGGGUUAAGUCCCGUAACGAGCGCAACCCUUGUCUUAUUUGCAGCACGUAAUGGUGGGACUCUACGAGACUGCGUGACAGCGGAGGAAAGGUGGGGACGACGUCAGGUCAUCAUGGGCCUUACGGAGUAG